rnacentral:misc_RNA from 1 species
UGAAUCGGCAGUGAUUGUCGGAAUCAAUUUUUGGUGUUGUCCAUUGGACGUGCGAUUUUCAGCAAAAAAUUAAAACAAAAAUUGUAUAAGAAUACUUAAAAGUACUUCAUAAGCAGAGAAAAAAGAUUAUUUCAUCAUUGAUACCUAGGUGCGACAUGGACGAAGAGUGUAGCAACAACGACGACUGCAGCACGGUUGGCUAGCUAGGUAGACAGUCAUUCGUAUUAAAACAAAAUGUCUACAAAGCAAAGAAACUAUUCACCAAAAAUAUAUACAUAUAAAUUAUAAGUAAUGAUUCAGCAAUUGCGAAAUUGAAAUUAAAGUUUUUUAAGGUCUUUUUUACAAUUUGGUGAAAUUCCAGAUCA